CUCUCAUGGCCCAUGAAAUCAAGCGUGGGUGAGACCUGGUGCAGAGCAGGAAGGCGACCCAUACUUGGUUUCAGAGGCUUUGAGAA
rnacentral:pre_miRNA from 15 species